rnacentral:rRNA from 1 species
GACAGAGGCCUCAAGCGUUAGGCGGAAUCACUGGGCUUAAAGCGUGUGUAGGCGGGUCGUUAAGUACCUUGUGAAAUCCCCACGGCUCACCCGUGGAACUGCUGGGUAUACUGGCGAUCUUGGGCCAACUAGGGGCAACUGGAACAAGCGGUGGAGCGGUGAAAUGCGUAGAUAUCGCUUGGAACGCCAAAGGUGAAAACAGGUUGCUGGGGUUGUGCCGACGCGU